CACAUGCAAGUCGAACGGUAACAGGUCUUCGGAUGCUGACGAGUGGCGAACGGGUGAGUAAUACAUCGGAACGUGCCUAGUAGUGGGGGAUAACUACUCGAAAGAGUAGCUAAUACCGCAUGAGAUCUACGGAUGAAAGCAGGGGACCUUCGGGCCUUGUGCUACUAGAGCGGCUGAUGGCAGAUUAGGUAGUUGGUGGGGUAAAGGCUUACCAAGCCUGCGAUCUGUAGCUGGUCUGAGAGGACGACCAGCCACACUGGGACUGAGACACGGCCCAGACUCCUACGGGAGGCAGCAGUGGGGAAUUUUGGACAAUGGGCGAAAGCCUGAUCCAGCAAUGCCGCGUGCAGGAUGAAGGCCCUCGGGUUGUAAACUGCUUUUGUACGGAACGAAAAGCCUGGGGCUAAUAUCCCCGGGUCAUGACGGUACCGUAAGAAUAAGCACCGGCUAACUACGUGCCAGCAGCCGCGGUAAUACGUAGGGUGCAAGCGUUAAUCGGAAUUACUGGGCGUAAAGCGUGCGCAGGCGGUUUUGUAAGACAGUGGUGAAAUCCCCGGGCUCAACCUGGGAACUGCCAUUGUGACUGCAAGGCUAGAGUGCGGCAGAGGGGGAUGGAAUUCCGCGUGUAGCAGUGAAAUGCGUAGAUAUGCGGAGGAACACCGAUGGCGAAGGCAAUCCCCUGGGCUGCACUGACGCUCAU
rnacentral:rRNA from 1 species